UACGGAGGGGGGCUAGCGUUGUUCGGAAUUACUGGGCGUAAAGCGCACGUAGGCGGCUUUGCAAGUCAGAGGUGAAAGCCCGGGGCUCAACCCCGGAAUAGCCUUUGAGACUGCAUCGCUAGAAUUGUGGAGAGGUAAGUGGAAUUCCGAGUGUAGAGGUGAAAUUCGUAGAUAUUCGGAAGAACACCAGUGGCGAAGGCGACUUACUGGACACAUAUUGACGCUGAGGUGCGAAAGCGUGGGGAGCAAACAGG
rnacentral:rRNA from 1 species